ensembl:snRNA U1 U1 spliceosomal RNA
AUACUUGCUUGGCAAUAGAGAUCCUAUGAUCCUCCCAACUGAUCAAGUGUAGUUAUAGGGUGAGGUCUGCCCCUUGCACUCCAGGUGGGAGUAGCUUCCCUAAAUGCAGGAAACUUGACUGCACAAUUUUCUGGUAGAUGAGGACUGUAUUCUUACUUUCCCUGU